rnacentral:rRNA from 1 species
UCGCACCUACUGAUUGAGUGACUCGAUGAAAUAUUGGGACUGUAGAGGCAUCUUGCUUUAUUGGAAGUGCUUUUGUGGGAACUUUUUUAAAUCUCGCCACUUAGAAGAAGGUG